GUAGCGUAAAAGAUGCAAGACCCGUAAAAUCUGCAAGUUCCGGUUCCGGUCAUGUGAAUUUUACGCUAGGCUCUGUAAAAAGGGCAAGACCCGUAAAAAGUGCAAGUCGUAUAUUGUUUUGCAAUGACUUUGGUAUUUAAUUGGAGAAAAACAUCACUAAUAAAGAGUGUGAAUGGGCCGACGUUCGUUUCUUCAAGAUUGGGCAAAAAAACAUUACCAUGCGGUUCGCAGUGCACAGGCUACUGUCCCCCUUCAAGAGCACCCAGGUCAUACAAGCUGAACACGGUUGACCUGCACACCUAACAGUGGAAAUAAUGAAACAAGUGAUCACACAUCCACCCACUUUCUGCCCGGAACAACAGGAGUGCAUCCGUUUUCUGGAGGCGUAGACAGUGCUGAAAAACCCCUGAGCCUAGUCAAUGGGUGGACAUCGUAACCUCAACGACCGGCAACUUAAUUUUGCAGGAUUACAGAGUAGUAAUUUACCAUAUGCUAUAAGUAGGAUACUGACUUAGGAUGGGAGAAUUCGGUUGAACUAAUAUGGUGUAAAUCCAUAUUACUUAAAAGCAUUUAUCCAAAUUUUAGGUACAUGUUCCUCAUAAUGUGUAUUAAUAUCGUAAUACUUUUAUAUUUUUCAUAAUACGUUUCGUCAUUAACAAAAAUUGUUAAGUUCAUACAAUGAAAUAAAACAACCUGUCUGAUUGUGUUUAAAUAUAUAGUCUCAUUAAUUCUAGACAUGUGCAGGUAUUGAUGGAUGCAUCUGAUGUAUAACAAUCGUUACAUGUUAAUUAUUUUAUUGAAAUACUGAUUUCAAUGCAUGCAUUGAUGAUGUCACUCAUUCAAUUGACCUGUUCAAAUUUUAUUUUAAAUAGAUAUAAUUAUAUUAAACUGUGUUUGCAUCAGAUUGUAUGUUUUGUGUAAGCAUUAUGUAAGCAUUAGUUUGAAAUGGUUGUUUAGUUUCAGAUUUAUUUAUAUUGCCCCAAAAAGGGUUUUUUCAAACUAUUGUCAUUGUGUCUGUCUGUCGGCAAUUUUGGUUUUGGUAACUCAGCUGUUUUCAUUAAUAUUUCUGGUAACGGUACUAGGCCACGAUCAAUAACAAUUAAAAGAAAUUUUUUAGUUGUUUAAAUAUUCAUUUAUUUUGUUUUGGGGGUGUUAGAGUUCGGGACUAAAAGAGGCGUUUUGCUGUACAGCCUGAAAAGUCAAUAAGGUUACUAUAUUUGUAUUAAUUACAUUUAAUGUAAUUCAUUUAAGUUAGCUACGGGUCCCCCAGCUGAACAGAUGUGAAACUGUAUUUUCUGCUCGAUGGCAGGGGUGUCAUUGGCGCCAACCAACUCUUUGUUGCCCGCAUUACAUGUCCAUUUUAUAACUUUUUUUGUUUUGUUUUUUCAUGUAGAGGCACUUGUUUUUCAAUGAAUGGUACUGCUAUGAGAACUUUGCUGUGCAACCCAUACAUACAUGUACAUAUUGCUCUUCAAGGGCUGCCCUUACUGGCAGACCACAGCACUUCAGGUGGUACCACCUGCAACACACAGAACAUUGUACCCAUCGCUGUGUUCCUGAUGAAACGCUGCAAUUGGGCAUAUCACACAUAGUGUCGUCUGCUUCUUUGCUGUGUUGCAGAAUCCGUUCCCUGAGAUAAUUCCUGUAUUCUUGACAGUGAACCUACCGCAUUAUUUCAUGGGGAACCCCAAGAGCAAUGGCUUCAGCAUUCUGGAAAAAAAUAGCGUACAUAACAACAGUUAAAUUGAGGGCUCCAAUAAUUGUUUUAAACAAAACUGAACAUGGCUACUUUAUAUGAACGUUAAAUUGCCACCAUACUGCUACUUUAAAACCUGAACAAGACAGGUAUAAAUUCCUGUUGGUUAAGGAUAGGAAUCAGUCAAACCUAAUUUGUAUUCUACACAUUACCAUGUACUAACUUCAACCAUCAAAUGUCCAGCUUCUUGUCAUUAACUGAAAUGACUGUAAUUGGGGCCUGUUUAUUUUAUUCUAUUUAUGUCGAAAAGGCAGCAUAUUUUGAUAUGCAUGAACAUACCAUUAAUGUGAAUACUCCGCAAGAGUUGCUGUCCUUUUGCUUGUUACUCUGCAUGGGACUGUAUGUCCAAGGACCAAGUUGCUCCUUAACAUUGUCAGCCUUGUUUUUCUUAGAUCAAAGAAUUGGCUGCAGUAAAAAACAAAACACAUUAGAGUCAUCACUCAUACGCCAAUCUAUAAACAAAAGAAGGCAACUGUAUCAAGGAUUUUGUAAGAAUUACAGCCCUUUGUCCUUUUUGAAUAUGCAUAUGAUUGAUAAUUCUACAUUAAAGGUUAAAACAACUGUUUCAAGCACUUUGUAAGAAUUAUGGCCCUUUUUCCACUUAGAAUAUGCAUACUAUUGAAUCUAUGUAAAUGUUUGCAUACCACCUCAAAUAUUUUCAAUGUCCCUUGACAUAUUGCUUUUAUAGUUUGUUUCAUUAACAGUAUUUUUCAUAAUUGCUUGCCUUUUUUUCCGAAUUGUAAAACUUACUGGUAGAAAGUAAUUAUUGUUUUAUUCUCUUAUUUCCUACUCUUUUAACCAAGCUGGAAUAAUUUAGUGAUAAAAAUAUAUGAUGAUAAUUCUCAUAGUUUUUUUGUUUUAUUUCGAUAAAUAACAACAAUUCUAACAACUAUUUUUGUUUAACCCCAAACAGACUUAAGGAGAAUUGCACUUACCCCCAGAGAUUCAGCCACUUAAAGUUUUGGUGGUGUAAUGAAUCUAAGAUUGACACUGUCUUUUCCUUGGGUUUUGCCACAAGAAAGAUCCAGUGAUUGCCAUGGCUGUUGAUAGGCAUCAGCAGAAGCUUUGUAGUUGGAGAAGUGUUCCUUCAUAAAAAGACGUUACUGAAUUUAACAUUAUGCUGCCACAACAUUGUCCAGAUCUCUCUUAAAUGUCAUUUCACAAUUGUGAAAUAGUCAAUAUGUGUAACAUAGGUACAUAUAUGCUUCUGUGUACAAUAACAUAUUGCAGGGGAAUUGAUGUCUGUUGGACAUAGAAUUUUUAAUGUAUCAUGUAUGAGAGACAUGUGCUCAUGAUCAGAUUGGAUAUGUGUUAGUAACGGCUACUUGAAGUUAUUCCAAGAAGGUAUUUCUAGAGUUUAGAAAUGGCAAUGCUCUAUAUACUGAUGUGUGUUAACAUUUAAACUUGUGCAAAAUGUAGAAACUGUUAACCGUGAAUAAAUCAUAAUCUUUCUUUUGUGUUUUGUUAUUUGUGUUGCCUAAACGUGCUUUGCUUACAUAUAUUAAUGAUUGCUUUGUAUUUUUUGUUUCAGUAAGCCUUCUGUGCAAGGUCAUGAGGUGAAACCUGGAUAUCAUUUUUUCACAAAAUGAGGGGGACAAGGCCGCUUCACAAAAAACAGGAAGAGAAGUCAUGUACUAUCAUGUCCAAAUAUGCAUUUUUUGUUGUAAAAUAUCCAAGUCAACAUUUUAAAGCGAGAUUAUACGAUUUUUAUAUGUGUUAAAUUUUGAUAUAUUGAUACAAAUAUGUUAUAAUAACACACAAUAUGCAAGAAAAAUGAUACAUUUAAGACGAAUUUCAUAAAAUACAGCAAAAACAAAUUAUCUCCCGAGCCUAAUGUGAAAAAGAUAAUUCGUACAUAUUUUCCUGUAAUAACCGAUGCAUUCGUCUUUUUAGUAAGUGUUCGGGUGUCGUAUGAACCAAUAUUGAUGCAGUAUUUCAAAUGAACAGUUAAACUAAAUUUAGAUUCACAUCGUACAUGCAUGAUAUACAUGCUGGCGAAUUCGGCUGUACAGCCUUUUUCGAUUUCAGAAUUAAAUAUCUGGCUUAUUUAGCAUUUUUGCGACACAUGUUCUUCUUAUCUUUUAUUUUAGUUUAUAUUGAAAUAUAUGUAUAAUAAGUUUUUUACUUAUUUUAUAUUAAUUAAUAAAUAUUUGACAAGAUCAUAUAUACCCGCUUUAUGGUGCUAAAUGGUUAAUAUUUCCCACACAUAAAGCUUAGUUAUCAUGGUGUUGUUCAUAAACAGGCACUCAUCUGUUAGAAGCCAUUUUUCUAACAUAGUUUCACUUAAAAAAUUCUUAUAAAAAGAUACAUUUGGGGCUAUAAAAUUUGCAAGUUUAGCCAAAAAAUUUGCAAGUUUGGCCAUUAAAUAUGCAAGUCAAUAUUUCUUUGUGCUUAACUUACCAACUGUUCAUCUGUUUUUAAAACCAAUAAAGCUCAUUUAUGUUAUUUAUUAUAAAGGUUAUCAAAGACUGAAACUAACUUUCAUGGAUACUUCAGGUUAGAAUAUAGUUGUUGUUUUUUUGUUCAAAUGUGUAUUUUAAAGGGACUGUCAACCACAAAUGACGAAAAAAGAAAAG